rnacentral:rRNA from 1 species
AGGGCACCACCAGGAGUGGAGCCUGCGGCUUAAUUUGACUCAACGCGGGAAAACUCACCCGGCCCGGACACCGUAAGGAUUGACAGAUUGAGAGCUCUUUCUUGAUUCGGUGGUUGGUGGUGCAUGGCCGUUCUUAGUUGGUGGAGCGAUUUGUCUGGUUUACUCCGAUAACGAACGAGACUCUGGCCUACUAAAUAGUGACAGGAUUAUUACUGUCUUGGAUACUUCUUAGAGGGACAAGUGGUUUUCAGCCACACGAAAUUGAGCAAUAACAGGUCUGUGAUGCCCUUAGAUGUCCGGGGCUGCACGCGCGCUACACUGAAGGAAUCAGCGUGCUAAAACCAUUGUCGAAAGGCAUUGGUAAACCCAUUAAAAUCCUACGUGAUUGGGAUCGGGAAUUGCAAUUAUUUCCCUUGAACGAGGAAUUCCCAGUAAGUGUGGGUCAUAAGCUCGCGUUGAUUACGUCCCUGCCCUUUGUACACACCGCCCGUCGCUGCCCGGGACUGAGCCGUUUCGAGA